CAAGCAAGAAGCAAUAUAUUCCUGGGACCUGAAAAAAACAGUUCUCCCUUUGGUUUGACAGAACGCUAUCUGCACUAAACUGAUAUGUUAAUUGAGUCUGGCAGCCUCCAUUUAAUUGUGACUCACUGCAAAUGAUCGAGUUUGUCAGCUCCUCAGUUGCAGUUCUGUUUUUGUAGUGAGAAUGAAAGAAAAUACGUGGCAUAUAUAGUUUUACCUUCUUUUUUUUUCCUAAAAAGCUCUGCAAUUUUGAAUAUUUUAUUUAUUUAAUAAUAAUUUUAAUUUUAAAUAUUUUAUAAUUGUCUUGAUUUUUUUCUAUCCUUUUUGCAGAUUUUUGACUCCAAUAAUUUUAGAAUUUCCCUAUACAAUUCAGUCUCAGCACUUAUUAGCAGUUAUCACUACCAUCACAGGUUUAAAUCAGAGGAAUGGUCAAAUCUUACUACAGUAAAAUUUGCAAAAGAUAGAGGGAAGAGCUUUAACUUGAAAAGGAACAGCAUAGAACCAGGUAUGUCAAACCAUUUCACAGAAAUCUGCACUGGUGCAAUUCUAAACUCUUGAAAAGAAGGAGCCAGUUAGGGUUUCUGCUACAAUGGUCAGUGCCUGUGUUACUCCCAGAGUUCUCUCUGGUGACCAGAAUGUUUAGAAUUUCUAUGUGGUGUGUGUUCAUAUGUUAUCAUAUUAUAAAAAUGUAGAUCCAGGAUUCAUGAAAAACAUAACACCUCAAUCAAAGGACACCUUUAAAAUGUUUCAAUAAUAGGUAUUGAUGGGCAAUACUGGUUCAGUACUAUAAUGAAAAGCAUACUACAGAAACACAAAUAAGAGGAAAAGAUAGUGAAUUUUCUUCAUCCAUGUAAUAUAUCAUCUCACAAAUAUAUUUUUAGUAGGACUGGUCCCUAAUUUCUUAUCUGAGAUUAAAGAUCAUCGUUAUAUUCUGACAUCAUAUCGAGAGGCUGAAGAUUCCUUUUUUCCAGGGUAGGAAGAUAUUGUUAGAGUAACUAUGUCUCUAUAUAGAAAAGAGUUGCGUAUACCUUAAAUACUGCCAAUGAUUAAUGCUGUAGUUAUUUCUAUUUUGCUAAUGUAUAAUGCUCCCUGCAUUUGCUUUUGCAGGAUGAAACUGCAUCCAUCAGUGGAGUGUUAUCUUGCCAGCUUCUCCACUAUUUUUAUUUAGCUAGUUCAACCACUGCGUUACCUAAAAGCAUCUAAUUAAUCAUGAUGUUCUUAAUCUUGGCUCUUAUUGAGACCACAGUUAAUUAAGUUUACAAAUCGACAUGGCAAGUUUUGAUCCAGACAAAUUACCUCAGAGGAGGAUUUGUAUCAAUAAAAAUCUCUGGACCAAUACGUUGUUGGCUUGU
rnacentral:lncRNA from 1 species